rnacentral:misc_RNA from 1 species
AGCUUGAAGUGUCCUUUCCCAUUGUCCCCUAGAAGUUGAUGAAUUUGAAGAUGAUAAGUGAGUAAGCCCAUUUUCUAAAGAAAAUAGAUCAUUUGAUCCAUGACAUUGGUCAAGCCUUUUCAUCUUUUUCUUUAGAUGAGUAUUCCAGUAGUUUUUUAUGUCGUUAUCUGUUCUCUCUGGCAGAUAGGAAGCUAUUGCAGCCCAUUUGUUUCCUAAAAGUGCUUGAAGCUGGAUAAUCAUUUUUUCUUCUUGAUCUGUGAAGUUACCCCUCUUUAUCCCUGGCCUAAGGUAGUUUGUCCAUCUUAGCCUGCAGCUCUUGCUACACCUACGCAACCCUGUUUUAGUGGGAAGUGCCCUCCAAUUGCCUGGACCAUGUUGUUGCACAUAAGAGACUAACAUUAUAUCUUCUUCAGGAGUCCAUGGCCCUUUCUUCACUCCCAUUUUAUCACAACAAGGGACUCUACCCAUUGGAACACAACCCUUUUUUUGCCUUGUUUUGUGGAAUUCUUCUUUUCUUGGGAAAAAAAG